AGGACAUGUACCUAAAAUUAACCCUCAUCCAAAAUGUCACGGAGAUUAGCUGUGCCAUUUUGGAGACCAGAGACUCCCAGAAGUUCGAAUUCUCUUACAAACUGGAGCUCCUUGGCUACAUGCUGGACUUCAUUAAAAAGGAAUCACAGGAUUCCCUGGCAUCUCCAGUUCGCUACAAGGCAAUUCUUGCCAUUGGACAUCUGAGCAAACUCAAACCAUCUUUGACCUUGGAGGAAAACCGUGAGC